rnacentral:rRNA from 1 species
CCUACGGGAGGCAGCAGUGAGGAAUAUUGGUCAAUGGGCGCGAGCCUGACCCAGCCAAGUAGCGUGAAGGAUGACUGCCCUACGGGUUGUAAACUUCUUUUAUAAAGGAAUAAAUUGUGGCACGUGUGCCUUUUUCUAUGUACUUUAUGCAUAAGGCUCGGCUAACUCCGUGCCCGCAGCCGCGGUAAUACGGAGGAUCCGAGCGUUAUCCGGAUUUAUUUGGUUUAAAGGGAGCGUAGAGGGGUUGUUAAGUCAGUUGUGAAAGUUUGCGGCUCAACCGUAAAAUUGCAAUUGAUACUGGCAGUCUUGAGUACAGUAGAGGGAGGCGGAAUUCGUGGUGUAGCGGUGAAAUGCUUAGAUAUCACGAAGAACACCGAUUGCGAAGGCAGCUAACUAAACUGCCACUGACAUUGAUGCUCGAAAGUGUGGGUAUCAAACAGGAUUAGAUACCCUUGUAGUC